rnacentral:rRNA from 1 species
GAUCAACGCUAGCUACAGGCUUAACACAUGCAAGUCGAGGGGAAACGACAUCGAAAGCUUGCUUUUGAUGGGCGUCGACCGGCGCACGGGUGAGUAACGCGUAUCCAACCUGCCCAUCACUUGGGAAUAACCUUGCGAAAGUAAGACUAAUACCCAAUGACAUCCCACGAAGACAUCUGAAUGGGAUUAAAGAUUUAUCGGUGAUGGAUGGGGAUGCGUCUGAUUAGCUUGUUGGCGGGGUAACGGCCCACCAAGGCAACGAUCAGUAGGGGUUCUGAGAGGAAGGUCCCCCACAUUGGAACUGAGACACGGUCCAAACUCCUACGGGAGGCAGCAGUGAGGAAUAUUGGUCAAUGGGCGAGAGCCUGAACCAGCCAAGUAGCGUGCAGGAUGACGGCCCUAUGGGUUGUAAACUGCUGUUAUAAGGGAAUAAAGUGGGUCUCGUGAGACUUUUUGCAUGUACCUUAUGAAUAAGGACCGGCUAAUUCCGUG